rnacentral:lncRNA from 1 species
UGUGGCUGUUGGAGUCGUAGGUGGAGUAGUGGUGGUCAGAGCUGCUCGAGCAGCGAUGGCUGAAGUCACUGGGUAUCGUGGUAAGUGAAGUCAUGAUGGCAGCCACGGACACAGUUGCUGGAUCAGUGGUGGGCUUAGCGACUGAUGGAAGGACCUAUACGAGAGGUGCCCAGACGUAGGAUAAGAUUUUCAGCCAUAAGGGAGGUGGUGGUGGUCUUUCGGAUAGCUCCAAGGCUGAGGUAUAAUGCGGU